rnacentral:rRNA from 1 species
UACGGGGGGGGGCAAGCGUUGUUCGGAAUUACUGGGCGUAAAGGGUUUGUAGGUGGCUUGUUAAGUCAGACGUGGAAUCCCUCAGCUUAACUGGGGAACUGCGUCUGAUACUGGCGAGCUUGAGUGCAGGAGAGGAAAGUGGAAUUCCACGUGUAGCGGUGAAAUGCGUAGAGAUGUGGAGGAACACCGAUGGCGAAGGCAGCCCCUGGGUCAACACUGACGCUCAGGCACGAAAGCGUGGGGAGCAAACAGG